rnacentral:sRNA from 1 species
UAAAAUUUACAAGGAUUUUUAAAAGCAUUUUUUUGGCUAGGAAAAUUUUUUAAGUGUAAAUAUUUUGGCGGGAAAUUUUUUUUU